CCUAGGUCUCUGUGUAGGGAGUAGGGAGCCGUUUCACCCUAGGUCUCUGUGUAGGGAGUAGGGUGCCGUUUCACCCUUGGUCUCUGUGUAGGGAGUAGGGAGCUGUUUCACCCUAGGUCUCUGUUGAGGAAAACGUCAUUUGAAUCAUCAGUACGGUAAAGGGAUCUUGUUAUAGUGAAACAGACGGAAACGGCCUGGACAAAAUAAACAACAACAAAAAACAAAAAAACAUUUGCAAAUGAAGUUUUUUGAAAUAAAUGACAGUCUGGCUAAGCCAAACAUUCUACGUCAUAAUGUGGCCCAAUGAUUUCCUCUUUUUCAUGGAUUCUAAAACGUUGUAUGUUUUAUUGAGUAUUACUGUAAUUAUUAUUAUUAUUAUUAUGAUUAUUGUCAUGGCUAUUACUAAUAUUAGUGGCAGGCCACUGGGUAACAUUGUAUGUUGAUAUCCAAAUUAAAUCUGUGCAAGAUAAUGAUGAAAUGUUUAUGAGUUUUAAAAACAAAUAAAAAGAUAAGACUACCAGGA